GACGAAGGAUGCAAGCGUUAUCCGGGUUCAUUGGGUUUAAAGGGAGCGUAGGCGGAUUUGUAAGUCAGUGGUGAAAUCUCUGGGCUCAACCCAGAAACUGCCAUUGAUACUGCAGAUCUAGAGUACAGUUGCCGUUGGCGGAAUAUGACAUGUAGUGGUGAAAUACUUAGAUAUGUCAUAGAACACCGAUUGCGAAGGCAGCUAACGAAACUGUAACUGACGCUGAGGCUCGAAAGUGCGGGGAUCAAACAGG
rnacentral:rRNA from 1 species